rnacentral:tRNA from 1 species
UGGGAUAUCGCCAAGCGGUAAGGCAGCGGGUUUUGAUCUCGCCAUUCCAAGGUUCAAAUCCUUGUAUCCCAGCCA